CCUACGGGAGGCAGCAGUGAGGAAUAUUGGUCAAUGGACGAGAGUCUGAACCAGCCAAGUAGCGUGAAGGAUGACUGCCCUAUGGGUUGUAAACUUCUUUUAUAAAGGAAUAAAACGAGGCACGUGUGCCCUUUUGCAUGUACUUUAUGAAUAAGGAUCGGCUAACUCCGUGCCAGCAGCCGCGGUAAUACGGAGGAUCCGAGCGUUAUCCGGAUUUAUUGGGUUUAAAGGGAGCGUAGAUGGGUUGUUAAGUCAGUUGUGAAAGUUUGUGGCUCAACCGUAAAAUUGCAAUUGAUACUGGCAGUCUUGAGUACAGUUGAGGUAGGCGGAAUUCGUGGUGUAGCGGUGAAAUGCUUAGAUAUCACGAAGAACCCCGAUUGCGAAGGCAGCUUACUAAACUGUGACUGACAUUGAUGCUCGAAAGUGUGGGUAUCAAACAGGAUUAGAUACCCGGGUAGUC
rnacentral:rRNA from 1 species